rnacentral:rRNA from 1 species
UACAGAGGUCUCAAGCGUUGUUCGGAUUCAUUGGGCGUAAAGGGUGCGUAGGUGGCGGGGUAAGUCGGAUGUGAAAUCCCGGGGCUCAACCUCGGAACUGCAUUCGAUACUGCUUUGCUUGAGUACUGGAGAGGAGAUUGGAAUUUACGGUGUAGCAGUGAAAUGCGUAGAUAUCGUAAGGAAGACCAGUAGCGAAGGCGGAUCUCUGGACAGUUACUGACACUGAGGCACGAAGGCCAGGGGAGCAAACGGG